UACGUAGGGGGCAAGCGUUGUCCGGAUUUAUUGGGCGUAAAGAGCGUGUAGGCGGCCUGGUAGGUCGGUUGUGAAAACUCGAGGCUCAACCUCGAGACGUCGACCGAAACCACCUGGCUAGAGUCCGGAAGAGGAGAGUGGAAUUCCUGGUGUAGCGGUGAAAUGCGCAGAUAAUCAGGAGGAACACCAAUUGCGAAGGCAGCUCGCUGGGACGUGACUGACGCUGAGACGCGAAAGCGUGGGGAGCGAACAGG
rnacentral:rRNA from 1 species